rnacentral:rRNA from 1 species
CAGCAGCCGCGGGAAAACGAAGGGGGCUAGCGUUGUUCGGAAUUACUGGGCGUUAAGCGCACGUAGGCGGAUAUUUAAGUCAGGGGUGAAAUCCCGCAGCUCAACUGCGGAACUGCCUUUGAUACUGGGUAUCUUGAGUAUGGAAGAGGUUAGUGGAAUUGCGAGUGUAGAGGUGAAAUUCGUAGAUAUUCGCAGGAACACCAUUGGCGAAGGCGGCUAACUGGUCCAUAACUGACGCUGAGGUGCGAAAGCGUGGGGAGCAAACAGGAUUAGAUACCCGGGUAGUCCCUGUCUCUUAUAC